rnacentral:tRNA from 1 species
UCCUCGUUAAUAUAGUGGUGAGUAUCCCUACUUGCCAUGUGGGAGACGGAGGUUCAAUUCCCUGAUGGGGAG